GUUCCUGUAGUUGAAUUACAACAGUGGUCUUUCAUGUCACUGGUCGUGGUUAGAUUCCAUGUGGGAAUA
rnacentral:tRNA from 2 species